rnacentral:lncRNA from 1 species
AUAAAAUGGACAAAAACUGCUUCGAGAGAAACCCAUGAAUAAUUUUGGGUGAAAAAUUCUGGUUUUGGUAAUGGUGGGUUGGUUUUAUAGGGUUGAGAUGGGAGAAGUGAAGAGUUGUUUGGGAGCUUUUUGGGGAGGUUUGAUGAGGCAUUUCUAAGAGAAAGGAGUCUCUGCAUUUCCUUUUUGAUGCUUUCUUCCUCUCUUCUUCUUCUUCUGGGUUUUUUCUUGAGAUGGUUUUGUAAUCAAGGGCAAUUCCUCGCUUUAAAAUUGAAAAAUAACACCCAAAAACUGACAUUAAUCUUCCAAUUACCAUGAUGUUCCAGAGACAACGAGCUUUUGCUUCCCCAAUUAUCAGCGAAGAUCAAAU